GUUGAUCACAAUAUCCCAGUGAAUACUCUAGGUCGUCUCUGGUCUCAGAAGCUAAGCAAGGCAGGGUCUGGUGAGUACUUGGAGGGUUUUGUUUCACAACUCACCAUUGAUCAAUC
ensembl:rRNA 5S_rRNA 5S ribosomal RNA